GGUUCUGUAGCUCAGUUGGUUAGAGCGUCCCGCUCAUAACGGGAGGGUCAUUGAUUCAAGUUCAAUCAGAGCCA
rnacentral:tRNA from 1 species